rnacentral:rRNA from 1 species
UACGAAGGGGGCAAGCGUUACUCGGAAUUAUUGGGCGUAAAGAGUGCGUAGGCUGUAAUAUAAGUUAAAUGUUAAAAUUUUAAGCUCAACUUAAAUACCGCGUUUAAUACUGUAUUACUAGAGUAGCAAAAAAGAUAGAGGAAUUUCUGAUGUAGAGGUGAAAUUCGUAGAUAUCAGAAGGAAUACCGAAGGCGAAAGCAUCUAUCAAUUUGCUAACUGACGCUGUUGCACGAAAGCGUGGGUAGCGAACAGG